AUGGCUUGGUCACCCUUCUCUGGGCUUAAUCUUCUUCAACUGUGCCCAGAACAGGCCACUGUGUUAUUCCAGAAAGUACAAAAACCCUCGGACUGUAGCAAAAUGAAGGUGUUGGUUCUAGCCCUCCUGCUGGUCAGCGUUUGCUGCCUUGAAGGCGCUUUCGUGAAACGCGAAGCGGAAGGGGAAUCUCAGGCGCCGGCUCAAGAAGUGUCACAUUAUCUGGAGACCUUAUCCCAGUUCUUUCCCCAUGAAGUGUUCAGCGAGGAGAAAAUUGGGCAGUUCAAGACCCAGGCCCAGUCGCUGGCUCAGCAGGCCCAAGAAAGCCUGAAGCCUUUGGCCGACCAAAUGCGGGAGAGCUUUAGCCAGUUCUUUGCCGCGCUCGGAGACUCCGUCAAGAAAGCGACGUCGUCGUCAUAACAAACCAUUAGGACCUUCCCGUCGAGAAUGGCUGAGAUGCAGAUUGUGCCUGGUUGCAAUAAAAAGCAGAUUUUUUCCCUCCACGCUCUCUUGUGUGGCAUUUUAAUUGGGGAACAAGAGGAUGUGGGUUUGGGGCUCCAUCAUGUCCAACGUUCCCAGCCUUGGAUCAAGAGGGCUUCUCUUCAGGACUGCUUUCUGGCCUCCAUCUUUGAGAAGGCCUUGCUUAGAGUGUCUCCAUGGUAACACUCUGGAGAGACUCUUAAGGUGUCUCCAUGGCAACACUCUGGUCCUUUGACUUAGGGUGUCUCCAUGGCAAUGUUCUAGCCCUCUGAGAGAGACCCUUAAGCUGUCUCCAUGGCAACGCUCUGGCCCUCUGAGAGGGGCUCUUAAGCUGUCUCCAUGGUAACGCUCUGGCCCUCUGAGAGAGACCCUUAAACUGUCUCCAUGGCAACACUCUGGCCCUCUGAGAGGGGCUCUUAAGCUGUCUCCAUGGCAACGCUCUGGCCCUCUGAGAGAGACCCUUAAGCUGUCUCCAUGGUAACGCUCUGGCCCUCUGAGAGGCCCUACACAACUUCUAAACAGGGUUGUUGUAUGUUUUCCGGGCUCUAUGGCCAUGUUCUAGAAGUAUUCUCUCCUGACGUUUCGCCCACAUCUAUGGCAGGCACCCUCAGAGGUUGUGAGGUAUGGAGAAACUCAGCAAGGAAGGUUUAUAUAUAUCUGUGGAAAGUCCAGGGUGAGACUCUUUGUCAGUUGGAGGCCAGUGUGAAUGUUGUAGUUAAUCACCUUGAUUAGCAUUGAAUAGCUUCAUCUCCUGGCAUGAAAAUGAACAAAAUCUGGCUACCAGUAUUAAAAAAACUCAAAAAUCAGAACAAUAAAUAACAAGCAACACUCUGAAAACAGAGGAAUUCCAGACAU
rnacentral:lncRNA from 11 species